rnacentral:rRNA from 1 species
UACAGAGGUCUCAAGCGUUGUUCGGAUUCAUUGGGCGUAAAGGGUGCGUAGGUGGCGCUGUAAGUCGGGUGUGAAAUUUCGGAGCUUAACUCCGAAACUGCAUUCGAUACUGCGGUGCUUGAGGACUGGAGAGGAGACUGGAAUUCAUGGUGUAGCAGUGAAAUGCGUAGAGAUCAUGAGGAAGACCAGUGGCGAAGGCGGGUCUCUGGACAGUUCCUGACACUGAGGCACGAAGGCCAGGGGAGCAAUCGGG